CCCACCAGGUACAUUAACCACUCCUGCGCCCCUAACUGCGUGGCUGAGGUCGUGACCUUUGACAAGGAAGAUAAGAUCAUUAUCAUCUCCAGCCGCCGGAUUCCCAAAGGGGAGGAGCUGACCUACGACUACCAGUUUGACUUUGAAGACGAUCAGCACAAGAUCCCCUGCCACUGCGGAGCUUGGAACUGCAGGAAAUGGAUGAACUAGCCGCUGCGGGGGCACCAGUGGGGCCCAGGCACAAGCAGCCCCUGGUGGGCAGCAGAGCCUGCUGCGAGGAGGCCUCUGUUGCAGGUUCUCCUCCCCCUUUGCCAUGCAGGGGGAGGGGGGAUCAGAGCUGGCCCAGGGGGAACGCCCACAUCUGGAACCCAGGAGGCGAGGUUGGUGCAGGUGGGUCAGCCGGGGCCGCUUUCGGUUCCAACGGCCAGGGGGCACCAGUCCUUGCCCACCCCCAGCAGAUGCCGCCCUCCUAACUUCCACAGGGAGGGCAUAUCGAAAGCACAGGGACCUUGGUUCUCUCCCUAGCCACUCCAGCCUGGCGCGCCAUGGCCCUGGCUCUCUGCUGGCAGCGUGCUGCUCUCCCCAGGUGGGCGGCUGCAGCGCCACAAGUGGAACUGAUGAACUGGCAACUCAGGGUUUUCUUUGUUUUGUUUUGCGAGGAGGACGGGGCCUGUGGCAUCAACAAAACCAGCUCUGUCCGCCUUGCUCACUGAAGCACCUGUAAAUAACUGGAUGGAUGCGGGGCGAGUGGGGUGCUCCCCCCCAGCUCUGGGGUGGGGCGGCCGCAUUCUCGGACCCACGGGGAGGUCAGAUCCAGUCUGUUUUUUUUUUAAAAAAAAAA